rnacentral:lncRNA from 1 species
UUUUACAGUUGAAUCACAACAUAAAUUAAUUAAAUUCUAGUUACAUAUAUUUCUCUAGCACAUAAGUAAACUCUUUUAUGAAAUCACAGCUCAAAUUAUUGUCCAAAUAGAGCUCAGGAAAACAAACCAAAAUCGUUUUACAAAAUUUCUUAUAUGAACUCACAAAUCAGCAAAGAAAAGAUACCCUCUUACUACAUUAGAGAGCUCUCCUCCUUCACCUCCUCGCCAUCAAUAGAUCCUGAACUAGAUACAAGAAAUAAAAUGAACAAUAAUCUAUCGAAGAAGAAAAUAAGGAACCAACUGCAAACUAUUUACUGAAAAUGAUAGUAUUCUAUGAAUAAAAGUAUUUUGCAUACACCAUAUAUGUUCAUCUCUGAAAUCAAUUUGAUAAACUCUGAAACUGAACGCUAUCACACUGAACACAGCUCAUAAGACAUCAAGCGCUAGCAGAAACACAAGUAAAAAAGUCAAUAAAAGCUGUAACUACACAACUUAAGCUGUUAAUCCAAUAUUGCGAGCUGUACCUAAUUGCGAUAGAAUCAGGUAGGCGGGGGAUCAGAUGCACACCUCAGGCUUUGCUAUAUAUGUUUCGUUGAGCCAGUU